GACGUAGGGCGCGAGCGUUGUCCGGAUUUAUUGGGCGUAAAGAGCUCGUAGGCGGCUCGUUGCGUCGGCUGUGAAAACCCGCAGCUCAACUGUGGGCUUGCAGCUGAUACGGGCGGGCUUGGAUUCGGUAGGGGAGACUGGAAUUCCUGGUGUAGCGGUGAAAUGCGCAGAUAUCAGGAGGAACACCCGUGGCGAAGGCGGCUCUCUGGGACGGUACUGACGCUGAGACGCGAAAGCGUGGGGAGCGAACAGG
rnacentral:rRNA from 1 species